GACGAACGCUGGCGGCGUGCUUAACACAUGCAAGUCGAACGGAAAGGCCCUGCUUUUGUGGGGUGCUCGAGUGGCGAACGGGUGAGUAACACGUGAGUAACCUGCCCUUGACUUUGGGAUAGCUUCAGGAAACUGGGGCUAAUAUCGGAUAGGAGCUCCUGCUGCAUGGUGGGGGUUGGAAAGUUUCGGCGGUUGGAGAUGGACUCGCGGCUUAUCAGCUUGUUGGUGGGGUAGUGGCUUACCAAGGCUUUGACGGGUAGCCGGCCUGAGAGGGUGACCGGCCACAUUGGGACUGAGAUACGGCCCAGACUCCUACGGGAGGCAGCAGUGGGGAAUAUUGCACAAUGGGCGGAAGCCUGAUGCAGCAACGCCGCGUGCGGGAUGACGGCCUUCGGGUUGUAAACCGCUUUCGCCUGUGACGAAGCGUGAGUGACGGUAAUGGGUAAAGAAGCACCGGCUAACUACGUG
rnacentral:rRNA from 1 species